rnacentral:rRNA from 1 species
AUGUUGGGAACUGACAAAUGGCAACCCACCUCUGGUUCCUGGUCCAGUCAAAUCUGCAGUACCUGUGCUUUAAUUUUGUGUCGAACUGCUGUGGUACAUGUUCAGCGUGCAUACUCUGCUUGCAUCUCCUGUUACAAGGAUGUUGCAGAUGUUCCUUGGGAUGAGGUUGCAGGAAUGUUCCACUGGAUGCUUGCUGCUGCCAUCUUUCGUAGAUGCAUUGCCGGAGUAUUCCAUUCCCAUCAGCGUCAAGUGUGGUGGUCCGCCAUGCAGAUCAUCUCCAAAAAUGCGAUAUUGAUUGUUGAUCUGUCAAGGUGGAGUGCUGCCAACUGUGAGCUGUUCCUGACGGUGUCACUAGACCAAGACGAGCUGUAUUGGUUUCUAGAGUGCAGCCACAGCGUAAAACACAGGGUUUCUGUCAUAAUCUUGCACAUUGAGGAGAAACCUGCCACCGGUGUUGUCUGUCGACAUGAGCCAGCUGCAGAGCUUUUAUCCCAUGGAGCAUGGUUAAGCACUAGAUUGGGCAGGUUGGUAUUGGCUGAGUUGGUGAAGGUGUCGAACCGACUGCCCUGGUAA